AGACCCGAAACCCGGUGAUCUAGCCAUGGGCAGGUUGAAGGUUGGGUAACACUAACUGGAGGACCGAACCGACUAAUGUUGAAAAAUUAGCGGAUGACCUGUGGCUGGGGGUGAAAGGCCAAUCAAACCGGGAGAUAGCUGGUUCUCCCCGAAAGCUAUUUAGGUAGCGCCUCGUGAAUUCAUCUCCGGGGGUAGAGCACUGUUUCGGCUAGGGGGCCAUCCCGGCUUACCAACCCGAUGCAAACUGCGAAUACCGGAGAAUGUUAUCACGGGAGACACACGGCGGGUGCUAACGUCCGUCGUGAAGAGGGAAACAACCCAGACCGCCAGCUAAGGUCCCAAAGUCAUGGUUAAGUGGGAAACGAUGUGGGAAGGCCCAGACAGCCAGGAUGUUGGCUUAGAAGCAGCCAUCAUUUAAAGAAAGCGUAAUAGCUCACUGGUCGAGUCGGCCUGCGCGGAAGAUGUAACGGGGCUAAACCAUGCACCGAAGCUGCGGCAGCGACGCUUAUGCGUUGUUGGGUAGGGGAGCGUUCUGUAAGCCUGCGAAGGUGGCCUGUGAGGGUUGCUGGAGGUAUCAGAAGUGCGAAUGCUGACAUAAGUAACGAUAAAGCGGGUGAAAAGCCCGCUCGCCGGAAGACCAAGGGUUCCUGUCCAACGUUAAUCGGGGCAGGGUGAGUCGACCCCUAAGGCGAGGCCGAAAGGCGUAGUCGAUGGGAAACGGGUUAAUAUUCCCGUACUUGGUGUUACUGCGAAGGGGGGACGGAGAAGGCUAUGUUGGCCGGGCGACGGUUGUCCCGGUUUAAGCGUGUAGGUGUGUGUUCCAGGUAAAUCCGGUUCACUUUAACACUGAGGCGUGACGACGAGGCACUACGGUGCUGAAGCAACAAAUGCCCUGCUUCCAGGAAAAGCCUCUAAGCAUCAGGUAACAUCAAAUCGUACCCCAAACCGACACAGGUGGUCAGGUAGAGAAUACCAAGGCGCUUGAGAGAACUCGGGUGAAGGAACUAGGCAAAAUGGUGCCGUAACUUCGGGAGAAGGCACGCUGACACGUAGGUGAAGUGAUUUACUCAUGGAGCUGAAGUCAGUCGAAGAUA
rnacentral:rRNA from 1 species